GGUUUUACUGGAGCCUGGCGUUGUUUGGAGUGAAAUCGCAGAUGUAAACUUGAGUCCUAAUGUGAUAAGCUUACAAAAAAAAAACAAGAAGAAAAGGUUUAGGGAAAGAUGCUAUUGAUUACUCUUUUUUUAUCAGGAAAGCUGUUGAAUUAAAGCCUUAUAUCUUAAUGGGGUUAUCAUCGAUUAAAUGGUAAAAGAGGAAGGAGCCACAGUGAGCUGGUUCGAUGAAAAGGUGACAGGUGCAUACUUCAGUUUGGGUGAACUCAAACCUACAACAUGUCAUACAGCGAGUCAGGCAAUGCAGCGUCAUCCAGCCGUGAAGCCAUUUGGCGGUGGGGAGGAGUGGGCCAUCUGAAGGCUAACCCCAGGAGCCCCCUUAACCCACAGUGGUUGAAAGCCCGGUCAAUCAGACGCAAUGAUGUUAAACUCCUCUCCAAUGAAUAGCCUUCACCAGUCAUCAGAGAGAUUGUCUGUGUCUGGAGGCUGAUUAGGAGUUCAUCUCAACUUGGCCUAAUCCAGAGGCACGGCGUCACUGCAGCAUCAGUGUUACCUUUGAUGGGUCCGGAUUAAAGCAAAUCUACAUUCCUUUGGUGGAUUUCAAACGCUGCCUGAACAAUGAUGCCAGCCAGAGGCGAGUUAAUGAGGCCUGCAGUGGACUGGCAACGAGUGACUUUAAAAUCAACCUGAUUAGGGGCAGAGAUAUUAUCUCUGCACCUCCCUCCUCCUUUUGCUCCUUCACUCUCCCUCUGUGUGUCUGUCUCUCUCUUCCAUCUCGCCACCAACACACAGUUUUGCCUCUUUCCUCCUUUCAAUUUUCUCAAGUCUCCUCAUUUUUCACUCUCUCUUUCCCAACUCUACUCCUGUCUCCCUCUCUCUCCUUUACCCUAGUGAGUGAGGCCUGACUUAAUUAGUGGGCUGGAGUGUGAAUGUGCCUUUCACAGGGUCUUAAUGAAAAGCUUUGCGCUUUCCCUUUCACUGUAUUAGUGACUGACUGCAACCCCCCCACACCCUCUUUGCCUGCCUCCUCUCCUCCUCCCUCCAUUUCUCCUCAGCCCGUCUGACCGUAGGGAGGUGUUAUUACAGGGGCUGUUGACUCUGCGGCUUUAGGUUUUGGGUCUCUGUUGUACUGAGCUGAUAGCUUAAUUAAACAUGCAAAUCGGAUCUAUCGAACACGUCUUAACAACCAUUCUCUGUGUAGCUGUUAUGUCAUGUCAGAUGGUCUUUCUUUGUGUUUGAGCCUUUUCUUUUUUUUAAAUCUAAUUAUACGAUACUAGCUCAUGUGAACAUGCUGUUCCAGCUCAAGGUGAAUUACAUUUAACACAAACCUGAUUGAUUUUGGUGAAACAGUAUGUGUAUAGUAGUGUUGGUCAUUGGUUGGAGGACACACAUCACAAUCAAUCAUUUUAC